GUCGAACGCUGGCGGCGUGCCUAAUACAUGCAAGUCGAGCGAAGUUUUUCUGGUGCUUGCACCGGAAAAACUUAGCGGCGAACGGGUGAGUAAUACGUAAAGAACCUGCCUCAUAGACUGGGACAACUCUUGGAAACGAUAGCUAAUCCCGGAUAAUAGCCUUAACUGCAUGGUUGAUGUUUAAAAGUUGGUUUUGUUAACACUAUGAGAUGGCUUUGCGGUGCAUUAGCUAGUUGGUGGGGUAAAGGCCUACCAAGGCGACGAUGCAUAGCCGACCUGAGAGGAUGAUCAGCCACACUGGGACUGAGACACGGCCCAGACUCCUACGGGAGGCAGCAGUAGGGAAUCUUCCACAAUGGGCGAAAGCCUGACGGAGCAACGCCGCGUGUGUGAAGAAGGAUUUCGGGUCGUAAAGCUCUGUUGUUAGGGAAGAAGGAUUGUGUAGUAACUAUACACAGUAGAGACGGUACCUAACCAGAAAGCCACGGCUAACUACGUG
rnacentral:rRNA from 1 species